CUAGGAGAUUUCUCAAUUGCAUUGGUUUUAGAAAUAUUAAUUCUAUUUACUGGCUUGAUGCACAUGUGCAGUGAUUCUUACUGAGCUGGAGAAGCUCAUAUUUUCUUCUUUUUUUUUUCAGACUUACAGGAUGCUUAGUUUGGGCGGUUUGGGCGAGAGCAAAUAAGAGCAGAAGCCUUUAGUAGUUUAGUUAGUUUAAGUUUUCUGAUACCAAUGAACAUUUGAAUAAAUUGUAUUGAACAAAGUUUACAUUUGAUUUAAAGUUUUGGUUCGGUGGAUUGAUUUGGUAUUUAUUUGG
rnacentral:lncRNA from 1 species